CUCUUAUCCAGAGAGGUCGAGGGACUGGCCCGAUGACACCCGGCAACCGGCGCAAUGCGCAGUGGUGCUAAUUCCAGCAGGAAUCAGUAGAUAUUCCUGGGAGAUGAGAG
rnacentral:ncRNA from 3 species